rnacentral:rRNA from 1 species
CAGCAGCCACGGGAAUACGUAGGGGGCUAGCGUUGUUCGGAAUUACUGGGCGUAAAGCGCACGUAGGCGGAUAUUUAAGUCAGGGGUGAAAUCCCGCAGCUCAACUGCGGAACUGCCUUUGAUACUGGGUAUCUUGAGUAUGGAAGAGGUUAGUGGAAUUGCGAGUGUAGAGGUGAAAUUCGUAGAUAUUCGCAGGAACACCAGUGGCGAAGGCGGCUAACUGGUCCAUAACUGACGCUGAGGUGCGAAAGCGUGGGGAGCAAACAGGAUUAGAUACCCCCGUAGUCCCUGUCUCUUAUAC